UUGAAACCCUGGUUCUCAUCCGAUCACCGAAGUUAAGUAACGUUGAGCCUGGUCAAUACCGAGAUGGGUGACCACUCGGAUAUACCAUGUGCU